ACGGGGUGCAGCAGGCGCGAAAACUUUGCAAUGUGCGAAAGCACGACAAGGUUAAUCCGAGUGAUUUCUGCUAAAGAAAUCUUUUGCUAGUCCUAGAAACACUAGUGAAUAAGGGGUGGGCAAGUUCUGGUGUCAGCCGCCGCGGUAAAACCAGCACCUCAAGUGGUCAGGAUGAUUAUUGGGCCUAAAGCAUCCGUAGCUCGUUUUGUAAGUUUUCGGUUAAAUCCAUACGCUUAACGUAUGGGCUGCCGGGAAUACUGCAUAACUAGGAAGUGGGAGAGGUAGACGGUACUCGGUAGGAAGGGGUAAAAUCCUUUGAUCUAUUGAUGACCACCUGUGGCGAAGGCGGUCUACCAGAACACGUUCGACGGUGAGGGAUGAAAGCUGGGGGAGCAAACCGGAUUAGAUACCCGGGUAGUCCCAGCUGUAAACUAUGCAAACUCAGUGAUGCAUUGGCUUGUGGCCAAUGCAGUGCUGCAGGGAAGCCGUUAAGUUUGCCGCCUGGGAAGUACGUACGCAAGUAUGAAACUUAAAGGAAUUGGCGGGGGAGCAC
rnacentral:rRNA from 2 species